AAUCUUCUGGUUAAGUCUGCUUAAUAAGAACACCUUGGGCUUUUGAAAAUAUGACAAAUCGAAAUAAUCAACUGAUACUCGAUUACAUGCACCCAAGCAGAUAUCAGGAUAUCUCUGGAUGUGAUGCACCUCACUAAUGAUGACCGAACGAUACAGAUCAACAACCAAAGAAAAAAUACUCAUUAAAAUAUAAACUCCCUCGCAUUAUUAUGAAAACAUGUCCUAGAUUUAGCACGAUGUAAUUUCAACUCUUUCUACCAAAUAAAAACUUGGGCCCCACCAAAGGUGGUUUUGCUUGCAAAACCAAUUGAAUUAUUAAGCACAAACGACUCGAUAGAGUACCGAACAGGUCUUAUAGCUAUGAAUAAACUUUAACCCUUUCCUCCAAAUAAGGACUUCAAAGGAAAUAAUUCUCAACAUUCAGAGAAGAAUCACCUGGGGAUUAAGUAUUAAGGUCAGACCCUGGUGUGAUGACAUCCAAUGGUCAUUGCUCCGAGAGAUCACAGCAAGAUAAUUUCCGUUAUUGUUGGAACGUGAAGGAUCAGCACGGGUAGGCACGUCAGAAUGAUUGAAGACACGUAUAGGGUUGAGCUACUCCUGGGAUUUUUAUUCACACACCUUGUUUUGGUUGAGAUCAUCAAUCAGCCCUGCUUGAACUUAAUCAUCUGCAGAACUGAAGUGGAUACUACCUGAGACGUUUGGACGGUCUCACAGGACACAACUACCAAAGUAUCUCUUAGCAAGAGACCCAAUGGACAUCUGAAGGUUGGAAUCAAUGAACAAGAGAUGGUUAGAUUGUGCAAAGAAGCAGAAGUGAACCUGGCACUGUUGUUCGAAUAUGGACGAGAAAUAUUGUACGGCUGAGAGCCUAUUUCGUCGAAUUCGUAAAACAUCGAACUCAUUGUUGGAGGGAGUCGCCGAGGGUACAGGAUCCAUUUGCCUGAUUGUCCGUUCGCUGUUCAUUGUUGUUCGGCUUUUGUUGAUUGCAGCCACUUCUCUUUUCAUUCUCUU